rnacentral:rRNA from 1 species
UAGGGAAUCUUCCACAAUGGACGAAAGUCUGAUGGAGCAACGCCGCGUGAGUGAAGAAGGGUUUCGGCUCGUAAAACUCUGUUGUUAAAGAAGAACAUAUCUGAGAGUAACUGUUCAGGUAUUGACGGUAUUUAACCAGAAAGCCACGGCUAAAUACGUGCAG